rnacentral:rRNA from 1 species
GAUGAACGCUGGCGGCGUGCUUAACACAUGCAAGUCGAACGAAGCACCUUAUUCUGAUUUCUUCGGAAUGAAAAAUUUGGUGACUGAGUGGCGGACGGGUGAGUAACGCGUGGGUAACCUGCCUCAUACAGGGGGAUAACAGUUAGAAAUGACUGCUAAUACCGCAUAAGACCACAGCACCGCAUGGUGCAGGGGCAAAAACUCCGGUGGUAUGAGAUGGACCCGCGUCUGAUUAGGCAGUUGGUGGGGUAACGGCCUACCAAGCCGACGAUCAGUAGCCGACCUGAGAGGGUGACCGGCCACAUUGGGACUGAGACACGGCCCAAACUCCUACGGGAGGCAGCAGUGGGGAAUAUUGCACAAUGGGGGAAACCCUGAUGCAGCGACGCCGCGUGAGCGAUGAAGUAUUUCGGUAUGUAAAGCUCUAUCAGCAGGGAAGAAAAUGACGGUACCUGACUAAGAAGCACCGGCUAA